rnacentral:lncRNA from 1 species
UGGAAGCUGUGGAAAAAAAUUGGGAAGAUUUUGCACAUUUCAUCAUGUACGAUGAUUACAAACCGAAGCAUAUCAGAAGAAGAAUAGUAACUUUGAGAAGGAUUCGAUAAAAUUUAAAGUCGAAGUGACGGUCGAGUUCGGUUUGACUACAAAAUUUUUUGUAUUGUCAGUAGAGAACAUAUCUUAUUUCGUGUGAAAAUUUGGUAUUUUUUUGAAACUGUUGGAUAUUUUUAAAUUUUUUUUAAAAAAACUUUGCCGAGUGUCCUAGGGUAGACACUCGGCAAAGAAAAACUUUACCGAGUGCCCACCUAGGACACUCGGCGA